GAAGGAGGUCAUUAACCGUGGGCCAUUGCUAACAGAAGGUUUGGCUGAUGAAUUCCUCCCUCACGAAGGUGUUGAUCUAACACGCAAGCACACAUUUGCAACCUGGCGAGGCAAGAUAGAUGGCAUUGGCCCUGGAACAAAUGGCAAAGCUUAAGAGCACUAUAAUAGUUAUCUUAUUUGAGGUUGUGAUUGUAAUAGCACUGUAAUAGCUAUCUUAUUUGUUUCCUGGCAGAC
rnacentral:lncRNA from 1 species